rnacentral:lncRNA from 1 species
UUUGAGGAAAUUCCCUCCAUGCCCCAGAUGAGGAGGCUGCCCCUGGGACACCAGAGGAUGGCACUUGCCAUAGGACAACACAACAGAUCAGCAUCACUGAACGUGGCUGCAGCUCCAAGCUGCUUAAAAGCCGUCCUCAAUGCCUCUGGAUUCAAGGACAACAGGAAUGGUACUGUUUGCAGACAGAACAGAGUGAAUGACCAAGGGCGACACAGAAAGGCAGGAAGCUGUGUCUCUAAAUAUCCAGAUAGAUGUAUGAGUGAACACUAAAACUACAAAUACAUCUUAUAUGCUGAAACAAAGUGCCAGAAGUUUAUCAAUACACACAAGCAGUUUGCACAGUGGAGCUGUUUCCUGUAAAAGUAUUAUUCCAGAUUGUCUCAUGUAGGGUUCUGCAGAUCCUCUUCUACCCAUCCUGCUAUGUACUUUCACACAACCUGUAACAAUGUUUUCCUACUCUUUGCCUCUCUU